GGCAACGGGUGAGUAUAUUGUGGGAAUCUGCCUUUUGGUUUGGAAUAACACGGGGAAACUUGUGCUAAUACCGGAUAAGCCCUUACGGGGAAAGUUUUAACGCCGAAAGAUGAGCCUGCACUUGAUUAGCUAGUUGGUAAGGUAAAAGCUUACCAAGCAACGAUCAAUAGCUGUUCUUAGAGGAAGACCAGCCACAUUGGGACUGAGACACGGGCCAGACUCCUACGGGAGGCAGCAGUGGGGAAUCUUGCACAAUGGGGGAAACCCUGAUGCAGCGAUGCCGCGUGAGUGAAGAAGGCCCUUGGGUUGUAAAACUCUUUCGUCGGGGAAGAAAAUGACUGUACCCGAAUAAGAAGGUCCGGCUAACUUCGUGCCAGCAGCCGCGGUAAUACGAAGGGACCUAGCGUAGUUCGGAAUUACUGGGCUUAAAGAGCUCGUAGGUGGUUAAAAAAGUUGAUGGUGAAAUCCCAAGGCUCAACCUUGGAACUGCCAUCAAAACUUUUUAGCUAGAGUGUGAUAGAGGUAAGUGGAAUUUCUAGUGUAGAGGUGAAAUUCGUAGAUAUUAGAAAGGACACCAAAUGCGAAGGCAACUUACUGGGUCACUACUGACACUGAGGAGCGAAAGCAUGGGUAGCGAAGAGGAUUAGAUACCCUCGUAGUCCAUGCCGUAAACGAUGUGUGCUAGACGUUGGAAAUUUA
rnacentral:rRNA from 1 species